AAUCCAUAGGUUAAUGAGGCGAACCGGGGGAACUGAAACAUCUAAGUACCCCGAGGAAAAGAAAUCAACCGAGAUUCCCCCAGUAGCGGCGAGCGAACGGGGAGGAGCCCAGAGCCUGAAUCAGCAUGUGUGUUAGUGGAAGCGUCUGGAAAGGCGCGCGAUACAGGGUGACAGCCCCGUACACAAAAGCGCAUGUGCUGUGAGCUCGAUGAGUAGGGCGGGACACGUGGUAUCCUGUCUGAAUAUGGGGGGACCAUCCUCCAAGGCUAAAUACUCCUGACUGACCGAUAGUGAACCAGUACCGUGAGGGAAAGGCGAAAAGAACCCCGGCGAGGGGAGUGAAAAAGAACCUGAAACCGUGUACGUACAAGCAGUGGGAGCCCCACCACCAAAGCAUUUGCUGUACCGCGUUGACGGAGCGAAGCGACGUCAAACCGAUAAAACAGCAGUGUAAAGUGAGCCGCAGGGCGCUUUGCGCGACAGCGCAAAGGCAGGCGGUUUCGCGUAGCGAAAGCGAAUGCUUUGGGGUGGGGUGACUGCGUACCUUUUGUAUAAUGGGUCAGCGACUUAUAUUCUGUAGCAAGGUUAACCGAAUAGGGGAGCCGGAGGGAAACC
rnacentral:rRNA from 2 species